GACGAACGCUGGCGGCGUGCUUAACACAUGCAAGUCGAACGAUGAACUUGGAGCUUGCUCUGGGGGAUUAGUGGCGAACGGGUGAGUAACACGUGAGUAACCUGCCCUGGACUCAGGGAUAACUUCGAGAAAUCGGAGCUAAUACCGGAUAGGACCUUGCACCGCAUGGUGUGGGGUGGAAAGUUUUUCGGUUUGGGAUGGACUCGCGGCCUAUCAGCUUGUUGGGGAGGUAAUGGCUCACCAAGGCGUCGACGGGUAGCCGGCCUGAGAGGGUGACCGGCCACACUGGGACUGAGACACGGCCCAGACUCCUACGGGAGGCAGCAGUGGGGAAUAUUGCACAAUGGGCGCAAGCCUGAUGCAGCAACGCCGCGUGCGGGAUGACGGCCUUCGGGUUGUAAACCGCUUUUAGUAGGGAAGAAGCCUUCGGGUGACGGUACCUGCAGAAAAAGGACCGGCUAACUACGUGCCAGCCGCCGCGGUAAAAC
rnacentral:rRNA from 1 species